rnacentral:rRNA from 1 species
GACGAACCGUGCGAACGUUAUUCGGACUCACUGGGCUUAAAGCGCGUGUAGGCGGACCGCCGCGUCGGCUGCUGAAAUCCCCCGGCUCAACCGGGGAACGGGCACCGAUACGGGCGGUCUGGAGGGGGGUAGGGGGGCCUGGAACUUCCGGUGGAGCGGUGAAAUGCGUUGAGAUCGGAAGGAACGCCCGUGGCGAAAGCGAGGCCCUGGACCCUUACUGACGCUGAGACGCGAAAGCCAGGGGAGCGAACGGG